AUGUAUGUCGUGAAUGUGAUCACUUUCAACAUGUCUGUUUCUUUUCUCCCGCAGAAUGUGAGAGAUGUGACCAACCGUCCACUCACUGAGUUCAUGGCUCCCUGUAUUGACUCCCUCCCACCGCUGGCUUUCACCAAUCGGAGGCCUAUACCAACCAUGUUACAUCCCCCCUCUCCAUUGGCCAUACGCACUCAGGAUGCACAGCGGUUCAUUGUAUUUUCAUACUUUGUCCCUGCUGAGUGCCCAGUUGCCACAGAGGCCACAGCAGAUGUAUCUACUGGUAAAAGAGAGGACUUAUUGACAGAUACACAUCUUUCCUCAAUGCUGCAUCGAUACCUGCCACACUUCUUUAACGAUGACUCCAUUCCACCACAGCAGACAGUAGAGGGAACCACUGAGCUCUCAGUUGCUCCAGUGGCAAUAUCUAAUAUAAAGGAAGAGGACAGAUUCUAUCCUUUCUCACUCCCACCACUGGCUCAGCGGUUCGUUGGCAAUUCAUUUAUUGUCCCAGAAACCUCCCAGCCUGCUGUUUCAGCCACAGAGUGCCGAGUUGCCAAAGAGGCCACUGCAGACACAGCCACUGUCAAGAGAGAGAACCGAUGGGCAGCCAGAAGUCUUCCUUCAGUGCUGCCUCCAUGCCUGCCACCAGUCUUUGACGAUGACUUCAUGCCUCCAGAGCAGACAGUAGAGGAUGCCUAUGAGGUCUCAGGUGCUACAGAGAACACUUCAGGCACAGCUACUGUUGAUGGAGUGGACAGAUCAACAGCUAAAUGCCCUGUCCCAAUGCUGCCUCCAAGUUUGCCACCUGUCUUUGACAAUGACUACAAACUGCCAGAGGAGGCAGUAGAGGGAACCAACAAGUGUCCAGUCGCCAGUGAAUCUGCUGCUUCCGUGUCCGCUGUCCACCAAGAGGAGUUUUCAGCUGAUAAGAGUCUUCCUGCACCCGCAGCACUGCCUCUAAGGCUGCCCUGCACCCACAGCAUUGACCACAAACAGCUGUGGGAGAAAGUUGAGGACAACACAGAGUUCUCAGUAGACAAAGAAGCAACUGUUGCCAUUUACACUUGGGAAGAUAAAAGUCCUUCAGUUCUGCCAUGCAUCCACAACAACAACGACCACCAUCUGCCAGAGGAGACAGUUGAGGACAACACAGAGUGCUCAGUUGACACCGAGGCAAGUGCAGUUGCAUCCACUGUCAAGAGAGAGGAACUGACAGGUGAUAAAAGCCCUGUCCGAACAAUUCCUCCAAUCCUGGGAUGCAUCCAUGACAAGGACCACAAGGAGUCAGAGCAGAAAGUGAAGGGCCCUAGUGAAGAGGUGGAUCUCUGCCCUCACGCUCACCAGCUGGACCCAGAUGUUAACUUAACUCUGGCAACCCGCAAUGAUGAACCCAGGACCUGGACCCUGGAAGAGGCAAAGGAUUAUUGGAUAGGCAUUGAAAUUGAGAGUGAAGAGAGAAGCGUCAAGGAGGAGGUGAGACAGAGGGAGGGAUUGAAGCGUGAGGCGGACUGUGCCCAUUCCAAGAGCUCCAAUGGGAUGGCUUCAUCAGAGAGAGCAGAGACCAUCCUUGGAAGAGUGGGCUUUCUGGUCAUGAACCACAUGCAGAAAAUCCCAUUUUUGAAGAUGAAGGAAAAAGAGAAAAAUAAGAAACUGCAUAAGAAGUUGAAAGAUGAUGAGAAAGAGAGAAAGGAGAAGAAAAACAAGGAGGAGGAGAACAAAAAGAGGGAGAAGAAAGAGAUGAAUGAGAGAGAGAAAGAGCAGAAGAAAUUCAUGAAGGCUGAGAAAAAGAGGGAGAAGUUAGAACAGAAAAAGAGAGAGAAGGAAAGAAAAGAGAAGGAAAAGGCAGAGAAAAAGAGGUUAGAGGGGCUGAUGACGAUACAUAAUGACAUGAUGAAAGACAGGAUUAAGAAAGAGAAGAGGUGUUCUGAGGAGCUGAAAAAGAGAGAGAAAGCUCAAGCUGAGUUCUUGGAGAUGGAGAGAAAGAUUCAAGAAAAGGAGGAGAAGAAGAGAGAAAAGAGGAGGAAAGAGGAGAGGAAGAGACUAGAGAAGAAGAAAAAGAGGGAGCCAGCUGGAGGUGGAACUGAGAGGGUGAUAGAAUAGCAGGGAAAGGAUGAACGCUUGAAGAUGGAUGAGUAGAUUGGGUAUUAGAGAGAGAGAGCAGGGCGGGAUACUGUAUUUUUGCAUGCAAUGAAAAAUGCAAUAAAAAAAUCUAUAAAAAAGGUUUACUCUCUGUUUGAUUUUUGUCAAGGCAUACUGUAUAACACAGUAUAAACACACAAUGUAUACAUUUCACAAAUCUGGGGAGUGUUGCACUGUUAAAAUGUUGAAUUCCAAAUCUACCCGAUGGAGCGGAGCUAUUCUGAGAUGAGGAGGACGGAAAGGGAGGGGGAGUAGAUGGAGGGUAGAGAUGAGUUUGUUAGAGAGGAAAUUGAUAGAGAUGAAUAUGACACAGAGGAAUAUGAUAGAGAGGAAUAUGAUAGAGUGUAAUACGAUAGAGAGGAAUAUGAUAGAGAGGAAUAUGAUAGAGAGGAAUAUGAUAGAGGGGAAUAUGAUGAAGGGAAGAUGAUAGAGAGGAAUAUGAUAGAGUGGAAAACGAUAGAGAGGAAUAUGAUAGAGUGGAAUACGAUAGAGAGGAAUAUGAUAAAGAGGAAUAUGAUAGAGAGGAAUAUGAUAGAGAGGAAUAUGAUAGAGUGGAAUAUGAUAGAGUGGAAUACGAUAGAGAGGAAUAU
rnacentral:lncRNA from 1 species